rnacentral:rRNA from 1 species
GUGCCAGCAGCCGCGGUAAUACAGAGGGUGCAAGCGUUGUUCGGAAUCAUUGGGCGUAAAGCGCGCGUAGGCGGUUUCAUAAGUCUGAUGUGAAAGCCCGGGGCUUAACCUCGGAAGUGCAUCGGAAACUGUGUGACUUGAGUCUCGGAGAGGGUGGUGGAAUUCCAGGUGUAGAGGUGAAAUUCGUAGAUAUCUGGAGGAACAUCGGUGGCGAAGGCGACCACCUGGACGAUGACUGACGCUGAGGUGCGAAAGCGUGGGUAGCAAACAGGAUUAGAUACCCGGGUAGGAUC